UCGGUCCAAGCGCUUUCAGGAAAGUGUCUGCAUGUGUCCGACAAUGCCAAGAACAUUAACCGGUACAAGCCUACAGCUGUCUGCGGACAUGUGCCAGAGUGUGGAAACUGUGUGUGUGUGUG